AGAGUUUGAUCAUGGCUCAGGACGAACGCUGGCGGCGUGCCUAACACAUGCAAGUCGAGCGGUAACGCGGGAGCAAUCCUGGCGACGAGCGGCGAACGGGUGAGUAAUGUUUCGGAAUCUACCCAUGGGUGGGGAAUAACUAGCCGAAAGGUUAGCUAAUACCGCAUAAGUCCGUGAGGGGAAAGCGGGGGAUCGUAAGA
rnacentral:rRNA from 1 species